rnacentral:rRNA from 1 species
UACGGGGGGGGCAAGCGUUGUUCGGAAUUACUGGGCGUAAAGGGCUGGUAGGCGGCCAACUAAGUCGGAUGUGAAAUCCCCAGGCUUAACCUGGGAACUGCAUCCGAUACUGGUCGGCUUGAAUCUGGGAGAGGGAUGCAGAAUUCCAGGUGUAGCGGUGAAAUGCGCAGAUAUCGGGAAGAACACCCGUGGCGAAGGCGGCUCUCUGGGACGGUACUGACGCUGAGACGCGAAAGCGUGGGGAGCGAACGAGGA